CUACGGGGGGCACCAGUGAGGAAUUUUGCGCAAUGGGGGCAACCCUGACGCAGCAACGCCGCGUGAGUGAAGAAGGCCUUUGGGUCGUAAAGCUCUGUCAACAGGGAAGAAGUUACUAUGUAUUAAUAGUAUGUAGUAUUGACGGUACCUGCGGAGGAAGCAUCGGCUAACUCCGUGCCAGCAGCCGCGGUAAUACGGGGGAUGCAAGCGUUAUUCGGAAUCAUUGGGCGUAAAGGGCACGCAGGCGGCUCUGUCAGUCAGAUGUGAAAGCCCGGGGCUCAACCCCGGACGUGCAUUUGAAACAGCAGAGCUUGAGUACGGUAGAGGAGAGCGGAAUUCCUGGUGUAGAGGUGAAAUUCGUAGAUAUCAGGAGGAACACCGGUGGCGAAGGCGGCUUUCUGGACCGAAACUGACGCUGAGGUGCGAAGGCGUGGGUAGCGAACAGGAUUAGAUACCCUAGUAGUC
rnacentral:rRNA from 1 species